UACGUAGGGGGCUAGCGUUGUCCGGAAUCAUUGGGCGUAAAGAGCGUGUAGGCGGUCCGGUAAGUCCGCUGUGAAAGUCGGGGGCUCAACCCUCGGAUGCCGGUGGAUACUGUCGGGCUUGAGUACGGAAGAGGCGAGUGGAAUUCCUGGUGUAGCGGUGGAAUGCGCAGAUAUCAGGAGGAACACCAAUAGCGAAGGCAGCUCGCUGGGACGUUACUGACACUGAGGCGCGAAAGCGUGGGGAGCAAACAGG
rnacentral:rRNA from 1 species